UGGACCUGUUUUCCUGACCCUUUGGGUAGACUGUGACCUUGCCUUAGUUACUGCAGCCCUCUUGAGGUCUGCCUUUUUUUGAGAGUUGAUGCUGCAAACAGAGGCCUGAACGCUCCAUCAGGGGAUUACUUCAGGUUCUUGAUACUGUUUGUUUGUAUCCUGGCUGCAGUCAAGAAUUAGAAAGAUAAUCUAAAAGCCUAUACUCCUCAGUGUUUUUCACCAUGAGAGCUCAAUAAAUGCAAGGUCGUGCCUUCUAGGUCUUGAAUUGUCAUACUUCUCUUCAUGAAGGGCUCUUAUUUGCCGCCAUCUCUCUUGGAUCUGGGAUCCAGGCCUAAAUUUAAUGUUCCAGCUGAAACCCCAUGAACACAGAGACAUCUGACAUACCUGAUCAUCUGUGCUUCUCUUUGAAAGUGUCCAUGAGUGGAUUUGGAUUGCUUUACGCUGAUGACUCUGGUUCAACUCGAGCUUUUUCUGCAGAAUUUCUGCCUCACUUAUUAUUCUUGAUCUCAUAUUUGUGCCAUUGAUUAUUCUGCCAAAGCGAGGCAACUUGUUUGUGUCUGCAUUUAUUUUCACCCAAGGAAAUGUUAAAUAACUCCUUUCCACUGGAAUUGAAGAUGACACUUCUGCUGCCCAGUUGGAAUUUAAACAGGGAGGAACUGUCUGUGCAGGAACUUGGAAAUGUUGGAAAGUGUGACCGGUCCUUCCAAUACAAAGUGUUGUGACUGUAAAAUACUAUUUGAGCUUAGGGCUCACCUGAUCAGCUCUCACUAGAACAGCUCAGGGUCCAUCUGUUGUGAAUAGCAUCAGCACUCCACUGCAGCCAUGCCAUUUCUGCCAACAUUGCAUGGUCUUUGCAGGUCUCCUGUCAAAAAAGGAACCUAAUAUGAGCCUCUUGAGCUAAUAAAAUCAUAGAAGGUUGCAGAACAUGGUAGUUUGCCUGUAAGCUGGGUAGCAUGAUUAACAGCAGGCAUUUAAUUGUUUCUGGUGUCUUCAGUGAUCAGCAUCGGAAUGGGCUAGUGCCUUCCAGCCCAGAUUUACUGUUGACAGUGUACCAUGUCACACCACUAAACUGUCUUGAAGGUGAUUUCUGAUCAGCACAAUAUCAUGCAAUUGCAUUGCAAUGAUAUUUUGUGAUAAAUAAAAAAUCAACGGCAUGCCUUAACUCACCAGCCAUAUACCUGCAGCGUGUCUUGGAAGGUGGUGGCCCUUCGCAGCAGCGCAGACCUAAAGCUAUUGCAGGUUGGUGUAACUAUGCACCAGUUGUGGGGAAAUGAAUGAGAUAGCUUUUAUUUCAUUUUUCAUCUUAGUAAA